GACGAACGCUGGCGGCGUGCCUAAUACAUGCAAGUCGAGCGGAUCUAAAGGAGCUUGCUCCUUUAGAUUAGCGGCGGACGGGUGAGUAACACGUGGGCAACCUGCCCUGCAGAUUGGGAUAACUCCGGGAAACCGGGGCUAAUACCGAAUAAUAUAGAAGAUUACAUGAUCUUCUUUUGAAAGAUGGCUUUAGCUGUCACUGCAGGAUGGGCCCGCGGCGCAUUAGCUAGUUGGUGAGGUAACGGCUCACCAAGGCGACGAUGCGUAGCCGACCUGAGAGGGUGAUCGGCCACACUGGGACUGAGACACGGCCCAGACUCCGACGGGAGGCAGCAGUAGGGAAUCUUCCGCAAUGGACGAAAGUCUGACGGAGCAACGCCGCGUGAGUGAUGAAGGUUUUCGGAUCGUAAAACUCUGUUGUCAGGGAAGAACACGUACGGGAGUAACUGUCCGUACCUUGACGGUACCUGACCAGAAAGCCACGGCUAACUACGUGCCAGCCGCCGCAGUAACAC
rnacentral:rRNA from 1 species